AAUUCUCAACUUCAAAUGUAUUUUUGAAGCUUGGACUUUGGAGGUUUUUGCCGGCAUAACUGUCAGCUCCUCUUAAAUGCAUUAGCGGAACUUUAUUAAGGACCAGCUUUGGUUUGAUAAUCCUAUCUAUGCCGUCGCUGUGGACUUUGCUUGUUCAGCUUCUAAUGGUCUUCGGACUGUCUCAAUUACGAGGCAUACACUUUUAA
rnacentral:misc_RNA from 1 species